CUGGCGGCGUGCCUAACACAUGCAAGUCGAGCGAGGAGAUCCUCGGGAUGAUCCUAGCGGCGGACGGGUGAGUAACACGUGGGCAACCUGCCUCAUAGAGAGGAAUAGCCUUCCGAAAGGGAGAUUAAUACCUCAUAACAUUGCAGUUUCGCAUGGAACAGCAAUUAAAGGAGUAAUCCGCUAUGAGAUGGGCCCGCGGCGCAUUAGCUAGUUGGUGAGGUAAUGGCUCACCAAGGCGACGAUGCGUAGCCGACCUGAGAGGGUGAUCGGCCACAUUGGGACUGAGACACGGCCCAGACUCCUACGGGAGGCAGCAGUGGGGAAUAUUGCACAAUGGGGGAAACCCUGAUGCAAGCAACGCCGCGUGAGUGAUGACGGCCUUCGGGUUGUAAAGCUCUGUCUUCAGGGACGAUAAUGACGGUACCUGAGGAGGAAGCCACGGCUAACUACGUGCCAGCAGCCGC
rnacentral:rRNA from 1 species